rnacentral:rRNA from 1 species
CACGUAGGGUGCGAGCGUUGUCCGGAAUUAUUGGGCGUAAAGAGCUCGUAGGCGGUGUGUCGCGUCGGCCGUGAAAACCUGCAGCUUAACUGUGGGCUUGCGGUCGAUACGGGCAAACUAGAGUGCGGUAGGGGAGACUGGAAUUCCUGGUGUAGCGGUGAAAUGCGCAGAUAUCAGGAGGAACACCGGCGGCGAAGGCGGGUCUCUGGGCCGUAACUGACGCUGAGGAGCGAAAGCGUGGGGAGCGAACAGG